AGAGUUUGAUCAUGGCUCAGAACGAACGCUGGCGGCAGGCCUAACACAUGCAAGUCGAGCGCUGUAGCAAUACAGAGCGGCGCACGGGUGAGUAACACGUGGGAACGUGCCCUUUGGUUCGGAAUAACUCAGGGAAACUUGAGCUAAUACCGGAUGAGCCCUAACGGGGAAAGAUUUAUCGCCAUUGGAGCGGCCCGCGUUGGAUUAGCUAGUUGGUGGGGUAAUGGCCUACCAAGGCAACGAUCCAUAGCUGGUUUGAGAGAACGACCAGCCACACUGGGACUGAGACACGGCCCAGACUCCUACGGGAGGCAGCAGUGGGGAAUCUUGGACAAUGGGGGAAACCCUGAUCCAGCCAUGCCGCGUGAGUGAUGAAGGCCCUAGGGUUGUAAAACUCUUUCGGCGGGGACGAUAAUGACGGUACCCGCAGAAGAAGCUCCGGCUAACUUCGUGCCAGCAGCCGCGGUAAUACGAAGGGGGCUAGCGUUGUUCGGAAUUACUGGGCGUAAAGCGCGCGCAGGCGGUCCUUCAAGUCAGGGGUGAAAGCCCAGGGCUCAACCCUGGAAUGGCCUUUGAGACUAGAGGACUUGGGUACGGGAGAGGUGAGUGGAAUUCCGAGUGUAGAGGUGAAAUUCGUAGAUAUUCGGAAGAACACCAGUGGCGAAGGCGGCUCACUGGCCCGUUACCGACGCUCAGGCGCGACAGCGUGGGGAGCAAACAGGAUUAGAUACCCGUAGUCC
rnacentral:rRNA from 1 species